GGAAAGGCCCUUCGGGGUACUCGAGUGGCGAACGGGUGAGUAACACGUGGGUGAUCUGCCCUGCACUUUGGGAUAAGCCUGGGAAACUGGGUCUAAUACCGAAUAGGACCACGCGCUUCAUGGUGUGUGGUGGAAAGCUUUUGCGGUGUGGGAUGGGCCCGCGGCCUAUCAGCUUGUUGGUGGGGUAAUGGCCUACCAAGGCGACGACGGGUAGCCGGCCUGAGAGGGUGACCGGCCACACUGGGACUGAGAUACGGCCCAGACUCCUACGGGAGGCAGCAGUGGGGAAUAUUGCACAAUGGGCGCAAGCCUGAUGCAGCGACGCCGCGUGAGGGAUGACGGCCUUCGGGUUGUAAACCUCUUUCACCAGGGACGAAGCGUAAGUGACGGUACCUGGAGAAGAAGCACCGGCCAACUACGUGCCAGCAGCCGCGGUAAUACGUAGGGUGCGAGCGUUGUCCGGAAUUACUGGGCGUAAAGAGCUCGUAGGUGGUUUGUCGCGUUGUUCGUGAAAACUCACAGCUUAACUGUGGGCGUGCGGGCGAUACGGGCAGACUAGAGUACUGCAGGGGAGACUGGAAUUCCUGGUGUAGCGGUGGAAUGCGCAGAUAUCAGGAGGAACACCGGUGGCGAAGGCGGGUCUCUGGGCAGUAACUGACGCUGAGGAGCGAAAGCGUGGGGAGCGAACAGGAUUAGAUACCCUGGUAGUCCACGCCGUAAACGGUGGGUACUAGGUGUGGGUUCCUUCCUUGGGAUCCGUGCCGUAGCUAACGCAUUAAGUACCCCGCCUGGGGAGUACGGCCGCAAGGCUAAAACUCAAAGGAAUUGACGGGGGCCCGCACAAGCGGCGGAGCAUGUGGAUUAAUUCGAUGCAACGCGAAGAACCUUACCUGGGUUUGACAUGCACAGG
rnacentral:rRNA from 1 species